CGAACGGGUGAGUAACGCGUGAGGAACCUGCCUCAAAGAGGGGGACAACAGUUGGAAACGACUGCUAAUACCGCAUAAGCCCACGGAUCGGCAUCGACCAGAGGGAAAAGGAGCAAUCCGCUUUGAGAUGGCCCCGCGUCCGAUUAGCUAGUUGGUGAGGUAACGGCCCACCAAGGCAACGAUCGGUAGCCGGACUGAGAGGUUGAACGGCCACAUUGGGACUGAGACACGGCCCAG
rnacentral:rRNA from 1 species